GAUUGAAAGCUGGCGUCUUCGGCGUCCGCAUUGUAAUCUCAAGAAGUGUUUUCCGCUUCGGACCAUGCCUAAGUCCCUUGGAAAAGGGCAUCAUAGAGGGUGAUAAUCCCGUACAUGGCAUGGAGCGCCCGAAGCUUUGUGAUACGCUUUCUAAGAGUCGAGUUGUUUGGGAAUGCAGCUCAAAAUGGGUGGUAAAUGCCAUCUAAGGCUAAAUAUUGGGGAGAGACCGAUAGCGAACAAGUACAGUGAUGGAAAGAUGAAAAGAACUUUGAAAAGAGAGUUAAACAGUACGUGAAAUUGCCAAAAGGGAAGGGUAGGAGGUCAGAGAUGCGGCCUAGGAUUCAGCCUUGCUUUUGCUUGGUGUUUUUCCUAGAUUGCAGGCCAACGUCGGUUUUGGGCACUGGAGAAUGGUGGAAGGAAUGUGGCACCUCUCGGGGUGUGUUAUAGCCUUCUACUGGAUACAGCGACCGAGACCGAGGACAGCAGCGUACUCGCAAGAGCGGGCCUUCGGGCACCUUUACGCUUAGGGCGUUGGCAUAAUGGCCCUCUACCACCCGUCUUGAA
rnacentral:rRNA from 1 species